rfam:Parcubacteria bacterium GW2011_GWA2_47_9 TY15_C0041, whole genome shotgun sequence.
GCCGCGGUGGCGGAAUUGGCAGACGCGUACGGUUCAGGGCCGUAUAUCCGUAAGGAUGUGUGGGUUCAACUCCCGCCCGCGGCA